rnacentral:rRNA from 1 species
AUUGAACGCUGGCGGCAGGCCUAACACAUGCAAGUCGGGCGGAGUGGCGGACGGGUGAGUAAUGCCUAGGAAUCUGCCUGGUGGAGGGGGAUAACUUCUGGAAACGGUCGCUAAUACCGCAUACCAUCAGAUGUGCCCAGGUUGGAUUCGCUAGUUGGUGGGGUAACGGCCCACCAAGGCGACGAUCCGUAGCUGGUCUGAGAGGAUGACCAGCCACACUGGAACUGGGACACGGUCCAGACUCCUACGGGAGGCAGCAGUGGGGAAUAUUGGACAAUGGGCGAAAGCCUGAUCCAGCCAUGCCGCGUGUAUGAAGAAGGCCUUCGGAUUGUAAAGCACUUUAAGUUGGGAGGCGUUACCAACAGAAUAAGCACCGGCUAACUUCGUGCCAGCAGCCGCGGUAAUAC